UGGUGGAGCGCUUCAUCAAAAAGGG
rnacentral:piRNA from 1 species